UUUUGUAGCAGAGAUGGUAAAGUGCAUUCUUCUCAGUAUUACCAAACAUAGAUUUAAUGCAAUUAUAAAGGUGCUUUUUUAACACAUUGUUUGAUAAAUAGAUCCAUGUUCGAAACUGUAAUUAAAAUGCUUUAGAAACCUUUAAAGGUUUAUUACUGACACAAAUUCAUAUUUAAAAAAAGAAAAUCCGCCGUUUAAAUUCUUCUCUAUUUACCUGGGCUGUGCGGUUAAGCAUCAUGCACAUGUGCCGCCGACAAAAAGUCGUCAGCAACACACACGGGGAACAGCCGAAAACAUUGCAAUCCAUUCCCGCGACGGGCAUGUGCCGUCGAAAAAAAGGUGUCGGCAACACACACAUACACGGGUAACAGAUGAAAUCCAUGCAAUCCAUUCCCGUGACGCACAACGCUCAAAAGCAAAAAAAAAAAAAAAAAUGAAAAAUAUGAAAUAAAAUUACCAAGGUAAAUUUGAAUAUAAUUACAGGAAUAAAUUAAAUAUACUAUAUGGGUAUAGCAGAAAUUAGUUUUAAUCGUUCCGAAUCGAAUAGGCCGAACAUACAGCGUGAAACGUCCAGAC
rnacentral:sRNA from 1 species